UGGGGAAUUUUGGACAAUGGGGGAAACCCUGAUCCAGCCAUCCCGCAUGUGCGAUGAAGGCCUUCGGGUUGUAAAGCACUUUUGGCAGGAAAGAAACGUCAUGGGUUAAUACCCCGUGAAACUGACGGUACCUGCAGAAUAAGCACCGGCUAACUACGUGCCAGCAGCCGCGGUAAUACGUAGGGUGCAAGCGUUAAUCGGAAUUACUGGGCGUAAAGCGUGCGCAGGCGGUUCGGAAAGAAAGAUGUGAAAUCCCAGAGCUCAACUUUGGAACUGCAUUUUUAACUACCGGGCUAGAGUGUGUCAGAGGGAGGUGGAAUUCCGCGUGUAGCAGUGAAAUGCGUAGAUAUGCGGAGGAACACCGAUGGCGAAGGCAGCCUCCUGGGAUAACACUGACGCUCAUGCACGAAAGCGUGGGGAGCAAACAGG
rnacentral:rRNA from 1 species